AUUAUCCUGUUCUUGGCUGGAGAAGUCGAAAAAAAAAACAAAGGAAACAGAGAGAGAGAGAGAGAGAGAGAGCAAACGAAGGAGAAGCAGAGAAGGGGAGGUGAGAGUAGCAGGGGUUAGUGAUUGAAGAACCGAGCGAACUCAAAGAAGAAGAAGAAGAAGAAGAAGAAAGAAGAAGAGUUAAGAGUUAAGAGUUAAGAGUAGAUGGGAACGAAUCAAAAUCAGAUGAGCUAGGAGCUAGACUAGCAGUACAUGAGAACUCUUUUAAUAUCGGAGAACAGCUCGAAUGACAAUGUAGGGACCCUAGUUAUUUUAUAAGUAUUCUUUUUGUAUAAAAUGUAUUGAUUAUAUUACGACCUGAAAUUUUUAUUUAGUUUGGUUUAGUAAUGUGGUUGAGAUAAGAAAAUUACUCUCUUUUGAUAUUUAUAUUCAUAUUAGAGCUUCUUGGAUUGGUUUUAUAUUUUUGGGGUCUAUGGAAAGCCGGUUUUAUGUGAAUAGUUAUGUGAUAAUAGAUAUCGAGAAAAUAUAAGGGAAACUCAACUGAGA